rnacentral:rRNA from 1 species
UACGUAGGGUGCGAGCGUUAAUCGGAAUUACUGGGCGUAAAGCGUGCGUAGGCGGUUCGUUAAGUCAGCUGUGAAAGCCCCGGGCUCAACCUGGGAACUGCGGUUGAAACUGCAAGGCUAGAGUAUGGGAGAGGGAGGUAGAAUUCCACGUGUAGCAGUGAAAUGCGUAGAGAUCUGCAAGAAUACCCGUGGCGAAGGCGGCCAACUGGGCCGGUUCUGACGCUGAGGCGCGAAAGCGUGGGGAGCAAACAGG